GGAAGGAUAGUAUAUCCCGGUUAUUGGAUUCCGGGCUAAGCACAAAGAGGGUAAGGUUGGCAAAUCCGCCUUGCAUAACCUUGAAGUGUGAUGGGGAGCGAACGGUUCGCCUAGUAGCGAAGUAUAUGACUCCAUGCUUCCAAGAAAAGCUUCUAGCACUAUUUAUAUGGUGCCUGUACCUAGAACGAACACACGUGGUCAAGGAGAGAAUCCUAAGGCAAGCGAGAUAACUGUAGCUAAGGAACUCUGCAAAAUAACCCCGUAAGUUAGCGAGAAGGGGUGCUCAUAGCAAUAUGAGCCGCAGUGAAGAGGAAGGGGCAACUGUUUAGCAGAAACACAGCUCUCUGACAAAGUCGUAAGACGACGUAGUAGGGGUG
rnacentral:rRNA from 1 species